UGUUUUUUAAUUCUUCACUUAUCCUCAAUCCACUAGGUAGGAAUGCAUAUUGGGUAUGAAAAAAUGCACUAGAGUUUAAAAAUUUAUGGAAAAAUAUGAGGAUUUAUGGAAAAAUAUGAGGAUGAAACAUGUUAAAUACACUAGAACCAAACGAUGCUUUUAAAUAUAUGAAAAUUUAGGGGUUUAAUAGAAAUAAUUUCCAUAAAUUUUCUAAAAUACAUGAGUACCAAACGAGGCCCUAACGAGUUGAUCCCCUUGCUCCAGCUUUUGACGAGCCACGUGGACGAAGCUUUUGCCGCCGAUGUCCAUCAUGCUAUACGACGCGAUGAGGAGGCACAUGCAUCUGAAGGAGCCCAUCGGAAGGUUCUAAUUCGUGAGCUAAGUGGCCAUGUCAUUGAUGACGGCCUCUGUUCGCAUGAGCCAUUGUCGUUGUGCUCAGGACAGAUGGCACAACAACAUGGGCUGGAGCUGAUUGAGUUCACGGAUAUCAGGCACUUGAAAUUGCAAGGGAUGCCUUGUUAUAGCCGAGCCAAUCGUCCAAUGUUGUCGCGCCCAAUCUUACCCAAUGAACUGAAUUUCUCCUCCUCGGGCACAAUUCAGGCAGCAAGGAAGGACAUCCUUGGUUACGGCCGUUUUGGUUGUGUCUGUCACAUAUAUUUCCAAUGUCACCCAAGCCUAAACUCAAGCACACCAAUUUUAUCUAGGACAAUAAGAAGAAUUUUAGCACGCAUGGCAACAUCAUGUGACUUAAAAUGCAGGUCCCCUAGUAUAUGGCUCAUAUUUAUAGGCAGUGAUGGUCUUGAGUAGUUUAGAGUUCCACACAACCGAACUUUCCAGGCCCAGAAAUCCGAAAGUUUUCAGGCCUUCAAUCUAUUGUCUUCAUUCUCACGUUAUUGCUCUUUUAAAUAUGAGAGAUUGAGAUCUUGUCUUUAUGAAGCACCUAUAUAACGACACACAAGGCUAUAAACUUAGUGACUGUAUAUACGGGCCCUUACAAUAUUUACGGCCCUUUACAACGCACAUACAAUAUUAUGUUAAUAUGGGCAGGCAAAUCACGGCUAGCCUACUACAAUAUUUACGGGCCUUACAACACAUUGACAAAUGACAAUUAUCUAGCCUUUGGAAAAUACGGGUGCCUUUAAAAAAAGACGGACGCUUUGAUACGUAAACUCCUUUGGCUAUGUAGAGGAGCUCGGCGUGGCAUAUGGCAAAAAAAGUUUAUUUUAAAUCCUAAACUUAAAGAGGUCCGUUGAAUUAAAUCCUUAAGUUAAAAUUUCUGUCGUUUGCGUCCCGAACUAUGCAGUCCCGGUUUAAAUAGAACCCUAACAUCGUUUGAGGCAUAAAAACGCCGACGUGGCAAAUGUCAACCGGAAUUCGUGUGAAUAUGGGCUAACGGCAGUAUUGACCACGGUGUGUUCCCGUCCUGGGCACUGUGCCGAUCCAUUUAUUUUUUAAUACAUUGCUAAAAAUUCCGUGCUAGACAAUUCUUAUACUGCAAGGAAGAAAGCAAUACAUGAAGGAAUCUUUCAAUCUUCACAGCAAACCUUGGCGUUUGUCACAUCAUACAUCAAGUUAGGCCAGCUGAUCCGAUGGCGACGGGACAAACUCAAAGUGUUGCCGCGUAGCCUCACCAGUUGGAGUAGCCAAUAUGUACGUGGACGCUACGUUAGCGCGCAACAGGCACGGUGGUGCUAUUAUGGCCGUUUUGAGAGACCAUGCAUGAGCAUAUUUAGGGUCUUCGACGGUUUUGGUCCGAGGCAUAACGUUUGCUUGCAGAGAAGCAUUGGCACUAGCAGAGGAUCUAAAUAUCCAAAGGAUGAAGAUGGCUUUGGAUUGCCUGGGUGUGGUGAAGAAUAUUAAUUCGAAAACAAUAGGUCCUCAUUCAGCAAUUGUGCAUGAAAGAGUGGAGUGUAGCAAUAGCUUUACUAUUUGCUCUUUUGUCCAUGAGCAUAAGAAUCACAAUUUCGAAGCUUACAAUCUCACCAAAACGACAUGUAACUUAGGUUUAGGUAGACAUGUUUGGUUGGACACUCCUCACAACACAAACCGUGUGCCUAUGAACAUCCUUAUUGAUUAAUAAAGUGGCGAGAUUUAAAAAAAA
rnacentral:lncRNA from 1 species